UCAGUUUCUACAAAGAAAACUCACUCUCAAUAAACAUUCCUACAUUCCUGACUUUUGCUGGGGACUUGGGGGUCACAGGGAUGGUCCCUCUGCUGUCAGGGCCUCUCAGUUGGCCUUCACCCCAUGCCAGACCCUCCACCAACCUGUCUUCUCCAGCACCAGCCACCCAGUAAGCUAAACACCCAUCGCUUUAGAUUCUCUAAACCUCAUUUGCUUUCUUUAGCCAUAAUCCCAUAAUCUCUUCCUAGAAUGAAAUAUGGUUUCAGCUCUUAAGAUCCCAUUUUCUCUAACCACCCUGGUGCCACAGCCCACGGAAUCUGCUGGGUCAAGGUCAACAACGAACCCCCCUGCCACCCCCAGCCCAGGCCAGCAUGCCCAGGUAGAAGCCAAGAGGAAAACAGUGACUCCAUCCUGCACGUGGUGGUGGUGACGGGGGUAGGGUGCUCCCCUCCCUUUGGGAAAUAUCCAGCCAGGCUUUCUCGCCAUUGUCUACCAAACUUACUUGUCUUCCCAAGUAAAGGCCAAACCUCCAUCUGAAGCUCAAGCAGUGUUAAUGCCUCUCCCUUCGUAACACCCACCUCUGCAAGGAAGUUCUUCAGACAUAACACACAUUUUUGCAAGGGGCAUAGUAUCAAAGAUUAGGAAAGGAGAUAGGUGAUGCCUCUUUUUCUUAGGCAAAGAGCUGAAAUGCUACUUUUUGAGUGAGGGCUCACUAUGUGCUGGGCAGGGCCAGAUGGCUGCACAGCCC
rnacentral:lncRNA from 1 species